rnacentral:rRNA from 1 species
CUUGACUCUAGUCUGGCACUGUAAGGAGACAUGAGAGGUGUAGCAUAAGUGGGAGCUACGCCGGCUCUCGGGCUGGCGCCGUCGACGGUGAAAUACCACUACUUUGAUAGUUUCUUUACUUACUCGGUGAGGCGGAGGGCGUGCGCAGUCGUCGAUUCGUCGCGGCUGCGUCACGGUAUUCUGGAUCCAAGGGAGUUGCGGUCGCGGGCGCCACUGGGACGCGGGCGCACGGGGAUCGGCCGUCCGGGCCGGGGGGUAACCUUCGGCCCGCGGCGCGCCGCCCCUCGUGCGCUCCGUCCCUAGCUCGUGUUUAUCCCUCCCGAUCCGAUUCGAGGACACCGCCUGGCGGGGAGUUUGACUGGGGCGGUACAUCUGUCAAAGAAUAACGCAGGUGUCCUAAGGCUAGCUCAGCGAGGACAGAAACCUCGCGUGGAGCAAAAGGGCAAAUGCUGGCUUGAUCCCGAUGCUCAGUACGCAUAGAGACUGCGAAAGCACGGCCUAUCGAUCCUUUUGGCUUGGGGAGUUUCCAGCAAGAGGUGUCAGAGAAGUUACCACAGGGA